rnacentral:rRNA from 1 species
AUGAAAAUCAGUGGUUGGAAGGAAAAGUUGCUAUCAGCAGGAGGAAAGGAAAUCCUUCUCAAAUCGGUUGUACAAAUUAUCCCGACUUAUGCAAUGUCCGUCUUUAAAAUUCCUAAAAAGAUUUGUAAAGGAAUCAUUGACACGAUGUCGCAUUUUUGGUGGAGUGACGAAGACAAUCAGAAGAGAAUGCAUUGGAUGGCAUGGUGGAAGAUGUGUGUACCAAAAGACCAAGGAGGAAUGGGUUUUCGAGACAUACAUUGUUUCAAUCUGGCCUUGUUAGCCAAACAAGCGUGGCGCCUGCUUGAUAACCCUGAUUCACUAUGUGCUACAAUUUUGAGAGCUAAAUAUUUUUCAGAUGGAGAUUUAAUGAAUGCGAGUCUGAAAAAAGGAUCCUCUUUCACGUGGCAAAGCAUUAUGUCCAGAGUGGAUUCUCUCAAAAAGGUUAUAUUUGGAGAGUUGGUAAUGGACAGAAUAUUGAUAUCUAGAGAGAUGCAUGGAUCCCGAAUGGGGCAAAUAGGAAAAUUAUCACUCCUAGAAGAGGGCAGCUUCUAA